rnacentral:rRNA from 1 species
UACAUGUGGGGCAAGCGUUGUUCGGAAUUACUGGGCAUAAAGGGUGCGUAGGCGGCUUGUUAAGUCAGGGGUGAAAGUUUUCGGCCCAACCGGAAAAUUGCCUUUGAUACUGGCGAGCUCGAGUGCGUGAGGGGUAACCGGAACGAGUGGUGUAGCGGUGAAAUGCGUAGAUAUCACUCGGAAGGCCAAAGGCGAAGGCAGGUUACUGGUACGCAACUGACGCUGAGGCACGAAAGCGUGGGGAGCAAACAGG